UACGUAGGGUGCAAGCGUUAAUCGGAAUUACUGGGCGUAAAGCGCACGUAGGCGGAUUUGUAAGUCAGGGGUGAAAUCCCCGGGCUCAACCUGGGAACUGCAUUUGUGACUGCAUCGCUGGAGUGCGGCAGAGGGGGAUGGAAUUCCGCGUGUAGCAGUGAAAUGCGUAGAGAUGCGGAGGAACACCGAUGGCGAAGGCAGCCUCCUGGGAUAACACUGACGCUCAGGCACGAAAGCGUGGGGAGCGAACAGG
rnacentral:rRNA from 1 species